GAACUACUUUAGGUCUUUAUGUCUUUGAAUGAGGGUAAAAAACUUUCCCCCUUCAAUUCGGUUCGAUAUACCCUCAUUCAAAGACAUAAAAUCUGAGGGAGAUUC
rnacentral:pre_miRNA from 1 species